CAUGAACACCCAUUUUAGUUAAGCCCACCUUGAAGUAGCCGGUAGGUCUAGUGAUCAGGCGGUCUCCAGCAUGCCCUCCCUCCCUCCGAAGUAUACCAAAUCCUCCAUCCCCCUAGCGACCUUCCUUCCUGUGUACUGUAGUGGAUUGCAGGUGGAUUGCUAUCGCCAUAUGCUUUAUAGCUGUUGUUGCUGCGCUUGCUCUCUGUGGCUCUUCUCCACACCCACCUUUCUCCCUCGUUUCCAACAUCCUUCCCCUCACUAUUCCUUUGGUUCUAUGAUUGAAUGUGUGUGAACAAAAACAAGUGAAGGUGACGACAUUUUACUGCACUACUCAUGCUCCUCAUCUGGGUGAUGACAACUUGUGGAUUCUCACACUAGACUUCACUCCUUGCAGGAGUAUAGACAGAGGUCUGAUUUUUUAUCAUCAGUGCCCAUCCUACCGAAUACACACCUUUCUGGCAGAUGCUGGAUUUUUAUGGUGCAAAGGUUGUGUGUAUUUAUGCUACCUGAGAGCAGACGUGGAAGUGUGAGAGAAAGAUCAAGAAAUUGAUCUUCUGAGGAUGCAGAAGUCAAGCAAGAGGUUGGAUCGGACGUAUCCGGCUCGGAAAACCAUGAGCAAAUUUAUUCCUGGCUAGCGGAAGUUAGACAUACAAUCAUCUGGAAUUGAAAAAGAGAUUUAUGAAAAAAGAUCUACCUAUCAAUAUGAAAUAUGUGAUGUUUAUCUUGCAACAAGAGGAUUGGCUUGACAUCAACUCGGAAUUCCGCAGUGCCUUCCUCGGCAAAAGACGACGGUUCUUUACAACAAAAUGCAACGGAUAGCUGGCUUAACAGAUGAACCAAUCAGGGCUAUGACCACAGUUGAGCAUAUUUCCGACAGUUUUAUUUAUCAUCAAGUUAUCGAUUAUGCCCCCAUUGAUGAAAGUGAGGAGAAGCGUAUUCUCUUCAACCAGGACUUCCGAAUUUCAAAGCAGAAGUUGGAUGGCAAUUGUAAGGACGCCUUCGUUGCGCGUAUGCCACUUAAUGAUAUCACGAACUCAAUCUACAAAGAAUCUGCAAAAUCAAGGCAAUACUCCAACAAUUGAAGCUGUGUAAUCUAGAUCUAGUACAAGUGCUGUAACUUCAAAUCCUUUGAAAGACGAACGUAUUAGCAACAUAAUAAUAAACUUCUUAGUCCAAAUCAAGCUUUGGAAGCAGUGUUGCCUUGGAAGGUUGAAAUUUCCAAGAAAUUUCCAAGAGUACCUUGGUCAAGAUUUUAGGGCUUGGCAUGCAAAGGAGGAUACAUGAAUUGCCUUUGUAAGAGUAGCUGUUACACAAUCUCUUGGCAUAGACUUUGAACUUUAUUGUUGACAUCUUCCAUAGGCAUUGGAAUACUACCUCAAUAAUUGAUGUUAGAAAUAUGUGAAAUUUCUAUCCUUAAAGUAUUAACAAGCUCAUAAAGAUAUACAAUAAUUGUAAUUCUAUUUUGAC